AGAGUUUGAUCAUGGCUCAGGAUGAACGCUAGCUACAGGCUUAACACAUGCAAGUCGAGGGGCAGCAUGGUCUUAGCUUGCUAAGGCCGAUGGCGACCGGCGCACGGGUGAGUAACACGUAUCCAACCUGCCGUCUACUCUUGGACAGCCUUCUGAAAGGAAGAUUAAUACAAGAUGGCAUCAUGAGUCCACAUGUUCACAUGAUUAAAGGUAUUCCGGUAGACGAUGGGGAUGCGUUCCAUUAGAUAGUAGGCGGGGUAACGGCCCACCUAGUCUUCGAUGGAUAGGGGUUCUGAGAGGAAGGUCCCCCACAUUGGAACUGAGACACGGUCCAAACUCCUACGGGAGGCAGCAGUGAGGAAUAUUGGUCAAUGGGCGAGAGCCUGAACCAGCCAAGUAGCGUGAAGGAUGACUGCCCUAUGGGUUGUAAACUUCUUUUAUAAAGGAAUAAAGUCGGGUAUGCAUACCCGUUUGCAUGUACUUUAUGAAUAAGGAUCGGCUAACUCCGUGCCAGCAGCCGCGGUAAUACGGAGGAUCCGAGCGUUAUCCGGAUUUAUUGGGUUUAAAGGGAGCGUAGAUGGAUGUUUAAGUCAGUUGUGAAAGUUUGCGGCUCAACCGUAAAAUUGCAGUUGAUACUGGAUAUCUUGAGUGCAGUUGAGGCAGGCGGAAUUCGUGGUGUAGCGGUGAAAUGCUUAGAUAUCACGAAGAACUCCGAUUGCGAAGGCAGCCUGCUAAGCUGCAACUGACAUUGAGGCUCGAAAGUGUGGGUAUCAAACAGGAUUAGAUACCCUGGUAGUCCACACGGUAAACGAUGAAUACUCGCUGUUUGCGAUAUACUGCAAGCGGCCAAGCGAAAGCGUUAAGUAUUCCACCUGGGGAGUACGCCGGCAACGGUGAAACUCAAAGGAAUUGACGGGGGCCCGCACAAGCGGAGGAACAUGUGGUUUAAUUCGAUGAUACGCGAGGAACCUUACCCGGGCUUAAAUUGCAGAUGAAUUACGGUGAAAGCCGUAAGCCGCAAGGCAUCUGUGAAGGUGCUGCAUGGUUGUCGUCAGCUCGUGCCGUGAGGUGUCGGCUUAAGUGCCAUAACGAGCGCAACCCUUGUUGUCAGUUACUAACAGGUUCUGCUGAGGACUCUGACAAGACUGCCAUCGUAAGAUGUGAGGAAGGUGGGGAUGACGUCAAAUCAGCACGGCCCUUACGUCCGGGGCUACACACGUGUUACAAUGGGGGGUACAGAGGGCCGCUACCACGCGAGUGGAUGCCAAUCCCAAAAACCUCUCUCAGUUCGGACUGGAGUCUGCAACCCGACUCCACGAAGCUGGAUUCGCUAGUAAUCGCGCAUCAGCCACGGCGCGGUGAAUACGUUCCCGGGCCUUGUACACACCGCCUGUCAAGCCAUGGGAGCCGGGGGUACCUGAAGUGCGUAACCGCGAGGAGCGCCCUAGGGUAAAACUGGUGACUGGGGCUAAGUCGUAACAAGGUA
rnacentral:rRNA from 1 species